rnacentral:rRNA from 1 species
AACGAACGCUGGCGGCAGGCUUAACACAUGCAAGUCGAGCGCCCCGCAAGGGGAGCGGCAGACGGGUGAGUAACGCGUGGGAAUCUACCCAUCUCUACGGAAUAACGCAUGGAAACGUGUGCUAAUACCGUAUACGUCCUUCGGGAGAAAGAUUUAUCGGAGAUGGAUGAGCCCGCGUUGGAUUAGCUAGUUGGUGGGGUAAAGGCCUACCAAGGCGACGAUCCAUAGCUGGUCUGAGAGGAUGAUCAGCCACACUGGGACUGAGACACGGCCCAGACUCCUACGGGAGGCAGCAGUGGGGAAUAUUGGACAAUGGGCGCAAGCCUGAUCCAGCCAUGCCGCGUGAGUGAUGAAAGCCCUAGGGUCGUAAAGCUCUUUCACCGGUGAAGAUAAUGACGGUAACCGGAGUAGAAGCCCCGGCUAACUUCGUGCCAGCCGCCGCGGUAACAC